GAACGAACGCUGGCGGCAUGCCUAACACAUGCAAGUCGAACGAAGCCUUCGGGCUUAGUGGCGCACGGGUGCGUAACACGUGGGAAUCUGCCCUCAGGUACGGAAUAACUCAGGGAAACUUGAGCUAAUACCGUAUGAUGUCUUCGGACCAAAGAUUUAUCGCCUGAGGAUGAGCCCGCGUCGGAUUAGCUAGUUGGUGGGGUAAAGGCCUACCAAGGCGACGAUCCGUAGCUGGUCUGAGAGGAUGAUCAGCCACACUGGGACUGAGACACGGCCCAGACUCCUACGGGAGGCAGCAGUGGGGAAUAUUGGACAAUGGGCGAAAGCCUGAUCCAGCAAUGCCGCGUGAGUGAAGAAGGCCUUCGGGUUGUAAAGCUCUUUUACCCGGGAAGAUAAUGACUGUACCGGGAGAAUAAGCCCCGGCUAACUCCGUGCCAGCAGCCGCGGUAAUACGGAGGGGGCUAGCGUUGUUCGGAAUUACUGGGCGUAAAGCGCACGUAGGCGGCUUUACAAGUCAGGGGUGAAAGCCCGCGGCUCAACCGCGGAAUUGCCCUUGAGACUGUAUCGCUUGAACACGGGAGAGGUGAGUGGAAUUCCGAGUGUAGAGGUGAAAUUCGUAGAUAUUCGGAAGAACACCAGUGGCGAAGGCGGCUCACUGGACCGUAGUUGACGCUGAGGUGCGAAAGCGUGGGGAGCAAACA
rnacentral:rRNA from 1 species